rnacentral:rRNA from 1 species
UACGUAGGGGGCUAGCGUUGUCCGGAAUCAUUGGGCGUAAAGAGCGUGUAGGCGGCCCGGUAAGUCCGCUGUAAAAGUCAAAGGCUCAACCUUUGAAUGUCAGUGGAUACUGUGAAGCUAGAGUACGGAAGAGGCGAGUGGAAUUCCUGGUGUAGCGGUGGAAUGCGCAGAUAUCAGGAGGAACACCAAUAGCGAAGGCAGCUCGCUGGGACGUUACUGACACUGAGGCGCGAAAGCGUGGGGAGCGAACAGG